rnacentral:rRNA from 1 species
GAGGAGCUUGCUCUUCUUGGAUGAGUUGCGAACGGGUGAGUAACGCGUAGGUAACCUGCCUUGUAGCGGGGGAUAACUAUUGGAAACGAUAGCUAAUACCGCAUAACAAUGGAUGACACAUGUCAUUUAUUUGAAAGGGGCAAUUGCUCCACUACAAGAUGGACCUGCGUUGUAUUAGCUAGUAGGUGAGGUAAUGGCUCACCUAGGCGACGAUACAUAGCCGACCUGAGAGGGUGAUCGGCCACACUGGGACUGAGACACGGCCCAGACUCCUACGGGAGGCAGCAGUAGGGAAUCUUCGGCAAUGGGGGCAACCCUGACCGAGCAACGCCGCGUGAGUGAAGAAGGUUUUCGGAUCGUAAAGCUCUGUUGUAAGUCAAGAACGGGUGUGAGAGUGGAAAGUUCACACUGUGACGGUAGCUUACCAGAAAGGGACGGCUAACUACGUGCCAGCAGCCGCGGUAAUACGUAGGUCCCGAGCGUUGUCCGGAUUUAUUGGGCGUAAAGCGAGCGCAGGCGGUUUGAUAAGUCUGAAGUUAAAGGCUGUGGCUCAACCAUAGUUCGCUUUGGAAACUGUCAAACUUGAGUGCAGAAGGGGAGAGUGGAAUUCCAUGUGUAGCGGUGAAAUGCGUAGAUAUAUGGAGGAACACCGGUGGCGAAAGCGGCUCUCUGGUCUGUAACUGACGCUGAGGCUCGAAAGCGUGGGGAGCGAACAGGAUUAGAUACCCUGGUAGUCCACGCCGUAAACGAUGAGUGCUAGGUGUUGGAUCCUUUCCGGGAUUCAGUGCCGCAGCUAACGCAUUAAGCACUCCGCCUGGGGAGUACGACCGCAAGGUUGAAACUCAAAGGAAUUGACGGGGGCCCGCACAAGCGGUGGAGCAUGUGGUUUAAUUCGAAGCAACGCGAAGAACCUUACCAGGUCUUGACAUCCCGAUGCUAUUUCUAGAGAUAGAAAGUUACUUCGGUACAUCGGUGACAGGUGGUGCAUGGUUGUCGUCAGCUCGUGUCGUGAGAUGUUGGGUUAAGUCCCGCAACGAGCGCAACCCCUAUUGUUAGUUGCCAUCAUUCAGUUGGGCACUCUAGCGAGACUGCCGGUAAUAAACCGGAGGAAGGUGGGGAUGACGUCAAAUCAUCAUGCCCCUUAUGACCUGGGCUACACACGUGCUACAAUGGUUGGUACAACGAGUUGCGAGUCGGUGACGGCGAGCUAAUCUCUUAAAGCCAAUCUCAGUUCGGAUUGUAGGCUGCAACUCGCCUACAUGAAGUCGGAAUCGCUAGUAAUCGCGGAUCAGCACGCCGCGGUGAAUACGUUCCCGGGCCUUGUACACACCGCCCGUCACACCACGAGAGUUUGUAACACCAGAAGUCGGUGAGGUAACCUUUUGGAG